GAUGAACGCUGGCGGCGUGCUUAACACAUGCCAGUCGAACGGAAAGAGCACGUUCGUGUGGGUUGCACGUGGCGCGCGGGGGAGAAAAACACGGGAGUCCCCUGCCCUUGACUGGGAGAUCCCUUGAGAAAAGUGGGGAAAACACAAGAUAUGAGGACUUCCUCCAGGGAGGGGCGUGAAAGGUCCCGGCGGGUGGGGAUGGACUCGCGGCUUAUUAGUUUGUGGGUGGGGAAGCGGCUUACCAGGGCUUUGAGGGGUAGCCGGCCUGAGAGGGCGACCGGCCACAUUGGGACUGAGAUACGGCCCAGACUCCUACGGGAGGCAGCAGUGGGGAAUCUUGCACAAUGGGCGGAAGCCUGAUGCAGCGACGCCGCGUGCGGGAUGACGGCCUUCGAGUUGUAAACCGCUUUCGGCUGUGACGAGGCGAGAGUGACGGUACCGGGAGAAGAAGCCCCGGCUAACUACGUG
rnacentral:rRNA from 1 species